rnacentral:rRNA from 1 species
CCUACGGGUGGCAGCAGUGAGGAAUAUUGGGCAAUGGGCGCAAGACUGACCCAGCAACGCCGCGUGAGGGAAGAAGGCUUUCGGGUUGUAAACUUCUUUUCUCAGGGACGAAGCAAGUGACGGUACCUGAGGAAUAAGCCACGGCUAACUACGUACCAGCAGCCGCGGUAAUACGUAGGUGGCAAGCGUUAUCCGGAUUUACUGGGUGUAAAGGGCGUGUAGGCGGGACUGCAAGUCAGAUGUGAAAGCCACGGGCUCAACCUGUGGCCUGCAUUUGAGACUGUAGUUCUUGAGUACUGGAGAGGCAGACGGAAUUCCUAGUGUAGCGGUGAAAUGCGUAGAUAUUAGGAGGAACACCAGUGGCGAAGGCGGUCUGCUGGAAAGCAACUGACGCUGAGGCGCGAAAGCGUGGGGAGCAAACAGGAUUAGAUACCCUUGUAGUC